GACAACUCGCGGGGAUUGUUUUCCACACCGUGGAAGCUUUGUUCUUUUCGUUUUUUGCAAUAAAUCUUGUUGCUGCUCGCUUUUUGGGUCCACAUUGCUUUUAUGAGCUGUACCACUCACCGUGAAGAUCUGCAGCUUCACUUCAGAGCCUAGCGAGACCACAAGCUCACUGAGAGGAACAAACAACUCCAGACGCGCUGUCUUAAGAGCUAUAACACUCACCGCGAAGGUGUGCAGUUUCACUCCUGAGCUAGUGAGACUACGAAGCCACUGGAACGAAGAAACUCCAACCACGUUUGAACAUCAGAAGGGGCAGACUCCAGACGCUUCAUCUUAAGAGCUGUAACACUCACUGUGAAGGUCUGCAGCUUCACUCCUGAGCCAGCGAGACCACGAACCGAUCUGAACAUCAGAAGGGACAGACUCCAGAUGCCCCACCUUAAGAGCUGUAAUACUCACUGCAAGGGUCUGCAGCUUCAUUCUUGAAGUCAGACCAAGAACCCAGCAAUUCCCAACACACAGGGACCAGCUUCUUUCCUAACUCACUUAGGCUCUUCGUGCUGCUCUGGCAACUAACACCCUUGGCUGCAGGGGCUUGGACACUACCCUUAGUCACUGACAAUUGUGUGAAGGCUGCUGUCGUUAACUUCACUUGAUCACCUUAGGCUCCUGUGAAGUGGUGAGCAAUUCAAACAAAUUCCUGUCGUCAAAUCAUGUGUUCAGCUGCAUUGGCGCCAGAGCACCAAUGGGGCAAGAGAAUCCUCUGGAGAAGUUUUCUGUGAUCUCAUCACAGGAGUAGCCCAGAGGAACAGCCCAGGGCCUGGGGCCUAGGAUGGGUGGACCAGGCCAUGCAGCUGGUUGGGGGCUUGACCCCCACUCAAAAAGACAGGAGAGAGAAGGGGAAUGGCUGUAAGCAGUGAAGCUCCUCUUUGAACACUGUAGAAGGUUCCCAUCCUGGCACAGGCAUGGAUAUACAUCUUUCCACACCAAUAGACCUUGUUUUCCGAUGUAGCAUUAUUUUUCAUAGUUGGCGAAUAUACAGUUAUGGAUUCAUAACAGCAAGAUGGAGAAAUUGCACUGCAGAGAAAUCUUUAAAAGCAAUUACCUAAUACUGCAGAUUGCUGAACUGUACCCACACCCAAGACUGAGCAUUGGAUCAAUCCAGAAUAUACAUCAGGUGUUCUGCAAUGUCUGCCUAAAACCAUGACUCUGCCUCCUCCAGCUGUUGCUACAUCUCACUAUGGGUUUCCUGUGACAUUUUGAGCAAGUAUGCCUCUGUGACUGGGGUUCUUACACUCCAGAAUGGAUGAGAAGCACCGUAAGUGGCUUUUAAAAUGAAUAUUCCCUGGCCCUUCAGUCGCUCUAUAGGUCAAGAAUCUGAAUUCUCAACCUGUCUAGAAGGUUCUGGUUUUAAUGGUCUGUGGGCUGCACAUUGAGAAACCUGUUCAGCGAGUGCAACAAAGGUUCCACAUGUGAGAAAGGAAGCAUCAGGUCUCUUGAGCCUGUUCUUUAAUCUGUAGGCUGCACCUUCUCUUUAAAUUCUGCUAAUAACACCAUGCGAGAAAACACCCGAGCUUGAAAAGCCCAUGUUCCAACAUAACUGUCCUUCACCACUCUGGAAAAUUAAUGGUUUGUUUCGAUUAUCCCUUUGUUAAACUCCAAAGUCAAAGAGCUCUGAAAGGCAUACGGUUAUUUUAAGUUUCAGGUGAUUUCUGUUGCCAAAUAUUUUAAAAAUUUAAAAUUGCUACGUGACCUCUUAGUAGUACUAUUAGAUUUCCUGACAAUAAAAAUAAGUCUUUUGGUUUCACCAUUUAUAGUUAGUACAGCUAAUAUUAAGUAUAAUUUUAAAAGCCUUUUAUUUUCUCAGAAAGAAAAAAUAAUCAAAAUCUGCUCAGUGUGGUAUUGAAUAAUUAAAAACAAAAGAACAGUAUCUUCACAUUAGUGUUUAAUAUUAAUUGCUUUUUUACCCUUGACACUGGUGCUAAUUAAAUUUUCAUUUUAUUUUCCAUGACUUGUUUAAACAGUUUUUGCAAAUUAUUGCUAAUCAGCCUAAUAAAACUGAAUCACCUAUUAAACAAUUUUGUUUUGAAUUAAAUGGCAUUAAAAUAA
rnacentral:lncRNA from 1 species